GUGAAUCAUCAAAUCUUUGAACGCAAAUUGCACUCCCUGGUAUUCCGGGGAGUAUGUCUGUUUGAGGGUCGUUAGAAAAAAAAUCGAAGCGGCUCUCUUUUUUUGAAGGGUGAUCGCAUCGGAAUUGAGCCGUCUUUCAAAUGUUAAUUCAUGUCAAAGUGGCUUAAAAUUUACCUAUCCGGUACUAUUAAAGAGUAUUUAAGAUCAAUUUUGAUUAAGAACGCGCUAUGAACGUCCC
rnacentral:misc_RNA from 1 species